GAGAAAACCCUAAUUUCGGAGGAUGAGCCCUAUAUAAAGGACAUUAUACCCUCUCCCCAGCCUCUUUACCCUCUCUUGAAGUCCAGAAAACCCUAGGGAGCGUUUGUGAGUGGUUUGAGAGCAUUUGAACCUUGGAGAAGAGAUUUUGGAAGAGAUCUUGGAGAGUUAAGAGGCUUGGAGCAAGGGGCUUUGCUAGGAUUCGGAUUUCUCUUCUGUUGGAGUUUCCUUUUGAGGUAUUAUUUCGUUGCUUGGGCUUUUAUUCUUCAUUUUGAGGUUUUUGGAAAAGAUAGCAUGUGGUGUUUUGAGUUGGAGGUUAGAUCUGAGGUUGCUACCUCAGAUCUGGAAUGGAGAAGGUCUAGAGUGCAUUAAAGUCCCUGUUCUUGAGUGAUUGGUGAAGCCAUCUUGUCCCAAACCCUAACCCUAGAGUGUUAUAUGCUUAUAUCUCUUUGGAUUCACGUAAAGUUUGCCACUUUACGUGAUGGAUGGGUUGUAGAAGGGUAGAUCUAUGGUUUGGAUCAUUUGCAUGGCCUGGAAAGCUUCUGUAUGGAUUAAGAUCUAGAGGUACUCGGCGAGUCACAAAGGUGUACUCGGCGAGUUGCUUGAAGAUGGGCAGGAACUCGGCGAGUUGGAAGAACAACUCGGCGAGUUGGUUGAAGAUAGCCUUGGACUCGGCGAGUCUGUUCUUGGACUCGGCGACUCUUGUCGUGAGGUCCUAACCUUCUUCUGGUUGAGCCGUAAAUCGGUGAGUCAAGAGAGGACUCGGUGAGUGGAGUGCGAGGGGACUCAGAGUUGUGGGACUUGGCGAGUCUCGGGGUGACUUGGCGAGUUGGGUCGCGGUUUGGGGAAGUUCUGAGCAUGGGGACUCGACGAGUCGACGGGUUGACUCGGCGAGUAGGGUCAACCAGGAGGGUUGACUUUGACUGAGGACUUUGACUUUGACCAAGAGUUAACCAGUUGACUUCCAGGAGUAUUUUGGUUGUUAUUGGUGAUUAUUGGUUUCGGUGAUUCAGUGGUGGAGUUCGUGAUGCUUGUCGGAGCAACGUAGACUGUUCUUCAAUCGGCAGUAGCAGGUGAGUCUUCUCACUAUACUUUACCUAGAAUGGUAACAGAGUUAUGUGAUAGAGAUAUUAUAUGAUAUCUAUGUGAUGUGUGGCACUGCAUUAUUUCUAUGUGAUUUAUGUUGUGUGUAUAUCUGAGUGAGGACCGGAAGGUCCACAGAGCUAGGACCAGAGGGUCCGCAGAGUUAGAGACCAAGGGCCCAUAGAGUUAUAGCCUCGAAUGGCUAAUAUAUGUUAUAUGUGGUAUUUUUAGAAUUAUGUUCCAGUGUAUUUGUAUGUUGUUUAUGUGUUGAGAUUUAUUGUGAUAUGUGAUUCAAAGUUCUUAGAGUUAGGACUUUUGGGACCUUAGAGUUAGGGCCAGAGGGCCCACCGAGAGUUGGGAUUGGAGGGUCCCACUGAGACACACUGACCAGAAGGUCAACAGAGUUAUAUCCUUGAGUGGCUACUAUGUGUUAGAGUGGUAUUUUAGGGAACUCACUAAGCUUCGUGCUUACAGUGUUUUGUGUUAUGUGUUUCAGGUUUUCUCCGGAUCACGGGACGGCACCUGCUCGAUUGUACACACCAGAGGAAGCGGUUGUUUUGAAGAUCCUGGUUUAUUAAUUGAUUGAACAAAAGAGUCAUGUAUUGUAAUUUAUACAAAAUGGGAUUUUUUUUAUGAAAAGCAUUAAGGAGAAAAGUAAUUUUAAAUGAAAUUUUUGUUUUGAAUAAAAUUCCGGCGUUACAAGUUGGUAUCAGAGCCUUGGUUUGAGGGAUUCGGAUGCACCUUCGGGUAAAUCUGAAUUCAAACUGAGGAAGUAAGAAAAGUUUUCAAAGAAAUGAAAUUAUAAAAGUGAAUAAGAGUUCAAAGAGAAAGCGAGAAAGAGAGUGUGUACAAUCAGCCAGAGCCCGAACGGUGAUUUCCCAAAAUACCCUUACUUUUGUGUUACGAGAUAUUUAUGAUACAUUUUAUGAGAUAUUAUGCAUGCUAGAGGCAGGCUAGGUAUUUCAUAUCUUAGGACUAGAGUGGCCUGAUUUGUGAUGCCUUAGCCUAGGAGUUGUUGUUAUAUGUGUUGUGCUUUUGAGUAUGAGUGAGAGUAUUCAGUUGGAAUCCUCUUAGGGGAUUUGAGUAGAGGAGUAACCUAGGAGAGACGCCUAGAUGAGUAUUGUGGUGCUUAUCGAAAGAAUAGUUAGAACUCGCGAGGGGUAGAGUUGUAGAGUUCAGUGGUGCUUUUGAGAAUGAGCAGAGCAGGCGGAGUCAUCACCCAGGGUGAGUUCUAUGUAUUCUUUGAUGCCCGAAUGCUGCUUGCUUCGUGCUUUGUGGAACUCUCGAUGAUGGGAGUCAUCUACCAAGUGAAUAUGACGAUAUUCAGGAGGUAGAUGGCUAGCAUCAUUAGGAGCUCUUCAGCAGCUGAUGGCGGAGAAGUGGGAGUGACCUUAGCCAGAUGAGUACGCUGGCGGAGUAGAGCAUUUCGCUGAGGAGUAAGCACGCGUGGCAGAAUUAGUGAACGUGAAGGUUGAGCAGCUACUUAGGGACUCUAGAAUGGUCCGUGUGGAAAGUAUGGGUAGAUGUGGCAGGUAGUAUGGGCCCGUACUACCAAAAGCAGAGGACCCAUACUCGAUACAAGGAGUAUUCUGAAGGUUCUAAGUGGCAGACUGAGGAGUGAUGUUAUGGUUCGAGUACCAUACAUCGGAGCAGAUUGAGGAGUGAUGUUAUGGUUCGAGUACCAUACAUCGGAGCAGAUUGAGGAGUGAUGUNGAUGUCGUGGUUCGAGUACCAUGACCCGUGACAGUUAGUGUUAUUGGUUCUACUAGUUACCCGUGGUGAUUGGUUAGACCGAGAUCGGAGGUGAAAGAGUAUGGGGCUAGAGGGCCAUGAUGGACGAGUUUUAGUGAAGUAUCCCUUAAUGAGGAAAUCGAGUUAGCCCUAGGGAAUGUUGAUGAGAUGCCAAUUGGAGUCGCAAGACUCAGGAAGGAGUAGAGAUGGCAGUUAUAGAGGAUUACAGCCUGAGUUGAGCAACCAGCCGAUAGAAGAGAUGUCACCUUCUGUGAUCUAAGUGGUGCUAUUUUCGUUUCUAGUGAUAAACAUAAGAGGUGUGAGAUUUCGGUUUGGGGGUUUAGGAGUAAAACCCUGCGGAUUGACAUUUAUGUCGAUUUUCCUCCAGUGUAUCAAGCAGCAUGUCUACCGCGAGGUAAGGAUAUAUCGUGGGCNGUAUCAGGCAACAUAUCUGCCGCGAGGUAAGGAUAUAUCGUGAGCAUGUAGUCGGUUGGGACUGAGGUGGUCGAGGACCACGUCGCACCCUAUUUGAGUAUAGUAGGGCAUGUGGUAGCAGUAUUAGUGGGCAAUCCAGUUGAGUAUAUCAGGGCGGAGACUCUUCUGUCUAUGAUGGAUAUUGAGUAUGGGAGUGGAGUCCCAGUUCUUGUGAGGAUUCAAGUGAUGGAACUUGGGUGGAGUAGUCGAGGGCGAGGAUUACGCUGAAUUAUGGUUUCAGUCUAAGAGUCAGUGAUCUUACUGGACAGUUGAGUUAUUCGGUAUCGGAAUGGUAUGAGGCUUCGAAUGGCUAGAGACAGUCGCGAUGAGAAUCCCUGAGGAUUUCUUCGGAGAUUUAGGGUAUUUGAAGUUUCUUGAUCUCUAAGUGGGGGAGAACCGGGUAUUUUAUUGAGGGAACCAGAGAUUGUGCAAGAGAGGUUAGGGGUUGGAUACAGGAAUCUGGUAGUGACCAGGGUUGUUUCAAGGGGAAGACUCGUAAUGGUGGUACGGGCAGUCAAGAACUUUUGGAUCGAAGUAUGGUUUGCAUAUAUCCCUUUUUGGAUGGAUAGGGGAUUAUCGAGCGGCCAAUUCCUGGGCUGGUGUGUGUAUUUCUUGCGUGGAUUUUGAGCAGUAGGGGAAAAGGGUUUCGGAGGAUCACCAGUGUAUUCUGAAGCGUUAGCGCUUUCUUUGUUUCCAAUUGAGUGUUUGGGUACACUGAGGUUGCACACUGGGUAACGGAGAAUUAUUUAUGGAGUUUAGAGGAAGUGAAUUGUUGCAUCUGUAUGGUGCUGGGAGUAGGAGAGCAGUGUUUGAGGCAGGAUAUCGUGAUGUCCGUAAUGGUGAUCCGUGGUGACCGGGAAUAAUGUCCCGAUUUUGGAGUUAUUUAGAGCCUUGAGUUUGAGACGACCAGUUGUAUAUCAUGUAUCUACGGUUCCAGUGGGAGCCCUUCGAGUAUUGACAGCAAGAGGGAUUAUUUUAGAAGAUGGAUCUCCGCUGAGGUAAGUAAUUUUGUUAUAGUGGUUGCCACCAGAGUCUAUGAUGCAUAUGUGGGACAAGUGUGUGUAGCUAUCUAUGAUAGUCUACGGGCAUGAGUGAGUGGACAUAGUGUGGCGUCGGGAUGAGUUGAGAGUAUGGGGUGAAGCUACGGGGAGCCGUAGUAUUCACUAGUCAGAGGGUGUUGUGAUGCUACGGGGAGCCAUAGUAUUCACAAGUCAGAGAGAGGGAAUCAUGGUACUACGGGGAGCCGUAGUACCCACUUGAUUGUUGGUGUUGUGGUGCUACGGGGAGCCGUAGUACUCACUAGUCAGAGGCCUUCGUGUUAUUGCGGGGAGCCGUAAUACUCACUAGACGGCAAGAGAGUGUGAUGUUGGGGUGUUCCCCUAUCAGUGUUUGAUGCAGAAGAGUUGUAGGCUUGAGCAGCAUUAGUAUAGAGUUUUGGAGCCUGGUGGUUGAACCAAGGGCGGAAAUGCGGGUCAGAGUUGAGUCGAACCUCGGUUGGAUUGUAUUUUUCGUAUGAGGAAAAGAGAAUUUCAUGACUUGUGAGUCACUGGGCCGGGAUUGUGGUCACGGGGAGGAAGUGAUGGGUUUUGGCCAUAUGAACAUUCCUAUGUGCACAUGCAACCCUAAUGCUUGGAUCUAGGUUUCUAUAAUUGAACAUACAUUGAAUCCAAGACUUCUAAUGGCUAAUAUACAAUAACAAUAAUAUGAAAUCAGAGAUUAGAAGUUUACCUUGAAUCACUUGCUUAAUCUUGUUGUCCUUGAGGCUUUAGAGUCACAAUUGUCACUCCUCUAAUGGCUUACAAACACCAACUAGCAAGGAGGAUGAUUUGAGAGAGAGGAGGGAAGAGAAAUUCGGCUAGGGUUUCUUCUCUAAGCACAAGUGUCGAAAUCCCUUAGCUCUUGGGGUCUAUUUAUACUUGUAAGGCUCCUAGGGUUUCACCCUUAAACCCUAAUUGGAUAACUUAAGCCCUAAGAAAUCCAAAUCCUUUCCAUAAUAAGCCUUGGACGAUUUUAUGGCUAUCCUUAGCCCUAGAAAUCGUCCACCCCUUAUCCAUAAAUGAUAUAUAGCCCAAAGUGCAACUAUCAAACAAUUGACAGUUUAUACCCCUUUAUUUAAUUAAUCUCUUUAAGUCACCAAAUUAAUUCCUAAUUAAUUUAUGACUUAUAUUAAUCAAAUAAUAAUAUUAUUAUUCCUUAUAUUAUUCUUAUAAUAUAUUAAUAAUAUUCCUUCUCUCAUUAUAAAUCAUCCUGUCAAGUUGCUAUGGUGAAGGCAACCCAAAAGGACCAUGCUCAACCGGGUCAAAUACUUGCCUAAUAUAGUUGUAGCCUUAGACACUAUUCCAACAGUCUCCCACUUGGAUAAGUCUAGUAACUAUAUAUACAAGUAUAUUCCGAUUAGCAAUCGUAGCUCUCAAAGACGCUGUCAAACUCUGAUCUAAUCAAUCUUGUCCUUUAGAUAAGGGAUCGUACAGUCCUCUGUUUAGAUAUCAUGCUGACAAUUCUAUGGAACAAUUUGUCUAGCAUUUGGUUUCUCGAUCUCCGAUUCAUUUGACAUAGAACUUAAUCGAACACAUCAAUUCAGUUCUGACCGGGCCCGACACAUAAGUCAAAUCAAAUCAUCGAGCGGCCGAGAUAUCGCUUUUACCCUCUUGGGAUAAAAGUAACAGAUAAACUUCGACUUAUAUGCAUUUACUUAUUCAUUAAUCAACUAUACACAACAAUGCGUUUUAUAACAUCAAGUUACUGAUGCGGUUUCGCAUUAUCAAUGUACAACCAAUUAACAAAUAACAAACCAUAUAUCUUGGUUUUAAGACCAUAUGAUAUUAUCGUCUUGCGAUCACCCUUUUUAUCACAUUCCAUAAGGUGAUUCCAGCAAGCGCGGGUUUGUUCCAAUGCUCAAAACUAGUUCAUAAGCACUCAUGAACGUUGCAGCAACCUUUUGCUAUGUCUAAUACCAUUUAGACAAUCUACACACCAAUUCAUGACAAUCUUCAUUCAUAUCUACUUCCAACAUAUGAACGAUUGUGGACAAUUUGAACAAUUCGAUUAUUCUUAAUAAACUCAAUUAUUCUGGAAGUCAAAACAUGCAAAAUGAAACAAUAGUUAAACAAUUAACAUAAGACAGUAACAUUACUCAUAAAUAAUACUCUUUUAUUUAAUCAUCAAAUGUUAAUUACAUUUAUCUAUUACACGUUUCUACUACUAUCUAAUCUAUACUAAUAUCAUCCUUCAGCCCAAUACUCCUAGCAUGCUGCAAGUGCUUAACCCUACUCAGUCCCUUCGUAAGCGGAUCUGCUGGGUUAUCUUCUGAUGAUAUCCUCUUCACUACGAGUUGUCCUUCUUCUACACGAUGUCUAAUGAAGUGAUAUUUUCUGUCGAUAUGUCUUGAUCUACCAUGAUCCCUCGGUUCCUUGGUCAAGGCAACCGCUCCUUCGUUAUCACAGAAAAUCUCCAUGGGCUCCUUUAUGGCAGGUACAACUCCAAGAUCACCGAUGAAGUUCUUCAACCAUAUUGCCUCCUUCGACGCUUCGCUCGCUGCAAUGUACUCUGAUUCGCACGUUGAAUCAGCUACGGUUUCCUGCUUGGAACUUUUCCAAGUCACUGCUCCUCCAUUCAGGGUAAAGACCCAGCCCGACUGCGAACGGUAGUUGUCCCUGUCGGUCUGAAAGCUGGCGUCACUAUACCCUCGCACCUUCAAGUCAUCACUCCCUCCGAGGACUAAGAACCAUUCCUUCGUCCUCCGAAGGUACUUAAGGAUAUUCUUCACCGCAAUCCAAUGUGCUUUGCCAGGAUUCCCUUGAUAUCUGCUAACCAUGCUCAAAGCGAAGGCUACAUCAGGGCGAGUACAAGUCAUAGCGUACAUGAUUGAGCCAACUGCGGAAGCGUAUGGUACUCGGCUCAUUUCUGCUAUCUCAGCUUCGGUACUCGGACUUUGAGUCUUACUCAAUUUGGCAUUACUUUGUAUCGGUAGUUCUCCCUUCUUUGAGUUUUCCAUACUAAAACGUUUUAGUACCUUCUCUAAGUAAGUAUUCUGACUAAGUCCAAUUAGUCUCUUACUUCUUUCUCUUACUAUCCUUAUUCCCAAAAUGUAAGAAGCCUCUCCGAGGUCCUUCAUAGCGAAGCACUUCCCGAGCCAGGACUUAACCUCCUGCAGAGUCGGGAUGUCGUUUCCUAUGAGUAAUAUGUCAUCGACAUAUAGAACGAGGAAGCUUACUAUACUCCCACUGGCUUUGACAUAUACACAAGAUUCGUCUUCGCUUCGUACAAAUCCAAACUCUUUGACUUUCUCAUCGAAGCAAAGAUUCCAUCUGCGAGACGCUUGCUUAAGUCCAUAAAUGGACUUCUCAAGCUUACACACUCUAUUCGGAUGCUUCAGAUCGAAAAAACCUUUUGGCUGAGCCAUGUAAACAUCCUCAACCAACUUCCCAUUAAGGAAAGCUGUUUUGACAUCCAUUUGCCAAAUCUCAUAAUCAUGAAAAUGCGACAAUAGCUAGCAUCACUCUAAUAGACUUAAUCUUCGCAACUAGUGAGAAGGUCUCAUCAUAGUCAACUCCGGGAGUUUGAGUAAAACCCUUCGCAACCAAUCGCGCCUUAUAUGUGUGUACGUUUCCAUCCACGUCGGUCUUUUUCUUGAAGAUCCAUUUGCACCCGACAGUCCUACGUCCGGGCACAUUAUCAACCAAAUUCCAAACUUGGUUGUCAUACAUGGACUGGAUCUCGCUGUCCAUUGCCUCUUACCAUUUCGCAGACUCCGGGCCUGCCAUGGCUUCCUUAUAGCUAUUAGGUUCAUCUAGAUUUAUUAGUGUACCAUCACUAAUAUACGUAUCCCCUUUGGUAGUAAUAUGAAAACCAUAAAACUGGGGUUGAACUCUAACUCUUUCGGAACGUCUAAGAGGUAAGGACUCGUCAAUCGGUUCAACCGGAGUUUCCUCCUCGGGUUGAGUGCCAGCGGUAGAGGUUCCUUCAUCUAUCGACUCUUGAAUCUCUUCAAGCUCGAUUUGCCUCCCACUGUCUCCUUGGCCUAUGAGUUCUCGCUCUCGGAAAACUCCUCUCCUCGCAACAAAGACAACAUUGUCCUUCGGUCUAUAGAAGAGAUAUCCAAAGGAUUUCUGCGGGUAGCCGAUGAAAAUACAUCGCUCACUACGAGGUUCGAGCUUGUCGUGAGUAUCUCGUCUUACGAAAGCCUCGCAACCCCAAACCUUGAUAUGUGCCAACGAGGGAGCUUUCCCUGUCCACAUCUCGUGAGGUGUUUUGGCAACCUUCUUAGUAGGGACUCGGUUAAGGAUAUGGGCGGCAGUCUCUAAGGCAUACCCCCAAAAAGAGAUAGGUAGUGAAGCACGACUCAUCAUAGAGCGAACCAUAUCCAAUAAGGUUCGAUUACGCCUUUCUGCCACACCAUUCAACUGCGGUGUCCUAGGAGGCGUCAAUUGUGAAACUAUUCCACACUCCUUGAGAUAAUCGUGGAAUUCAAGACUUAGGUACUCUCCUCCUCGAUCGGAUCGAAGCAUCUUGAUUUUCCUGCCCAAUUGAUUCUCCACUUCAUUCUUGAACUCUUUGAACUUUUCAAAGGUUUCUGACUUUUGCUUGAUUAAGUAGAUAUACCCAUAUCUACUAUAGUCAUCGGUAAAAGUCACAUAGAAGCGGUUCCCAUCCUUCGUGGUUGAUCUAAACGGUCCACAUACAUCGGUAUGUAUUAGGUCCAAUAGACCCUCGCCCCUUUCACAUGUACUCGUGAAGGGUGACUUAGUCAUCUUUCCAAGCAAACAAGACUCGCAUGUGUCAUCUUCCCUAAGGUCGAAUGACUCCAACACUCCAUCCUUUUGGAGUUGGGCUAUGCGUUUCUUGUUGACAUGUCCAAGACGACAAUGCCACAAGGAUGCUUUAUCCAUACUAGUGGAAGAAUCAAUAUUCAAAACAUCAUUUCCUAAGUUAUCAACAAUCAUAACGGUUUCAUAUAUUCCAUUACAUGGUAUAGCUUCAAAGUAAAAGACACCAUUUAGAUAAGCCAAAAUAGAACCAUUCUCAUUAUUAAAAGAAAAUCUAAAUCCUUGUCUAUAUAAACCAUGAAAUGAAAUGAUGUUUCUUGCCAUUUCUGGCGAAUAGCAACAAUUGUUCAAAUCUAAAACUAAACUAUUCCUAAGCACUAAGGAAUACACUCCAAUCUUGGUCACAGGCGACGAUCUUCUGUUCCCCAUGAUUAGAUUGAUCCUUCCUUGCUCCACAUCCCUACUUCUUCUUAGUCCCUGCACAUUAGAACAAAUGUGAUAACCACAACCGGUAUCAAGAACCCAAGAAAUAGCAUGAUUAGAAUCGUUAGAUUUGAUUGUAUAUAUACCUGCGAAAGAUGGCUUGAUCUUUCCUUCUUUGAUUGCUUGCAGGUAAUCCGGGCAGCUUCUCUUCCAAUGUCCUAUCUUGUGGCAGUGGUGGCACUCUGCCUCCUUCGGGUUAGAGCAGGGCUUGGCGGGAUCAACUUUGGUCCCACUAGAAGAGGCACCAUCUCGGGCUUUCACCUUGCGAUAGUUCUUCGAUGAAGCUUUCCUCUUCUUUCCCUUCCCUUGUCCAAUAGCCAAGACAGGAGCAGCGGGCGGAUUGGGAGUAGGUGCAACAGACUUGUCUUUGAAGUUGCUCUCAGCAACCCUCAAGAGACCUUGGAGCUUGCUUAGGGUGACCUCUUCUUUGUUCAUGUGGUAGGUCAUCCUAAAUUGGUUGUACAUCGGAGGCAAAGAGUGAAGCACCAUGUCGAUCGCCAAGUCUUCACCGAAGUCAACAUUUAACUUGCGGAGGCGGUCAACAUACCUUUGCAUCUUUUGCAAGUGCACGGUAAGAGAUUCUCCAUGACCCAUCUUCGCGGAAAUCAUGUUAGUGAAAAUCUCGUACCUCUCUUGUCUCGCGUUUUGGUGGUACCUCUCCAAUAAGUCUUGAUGCAUCUCGUACGGGUACAUGUCCUCGUAGGACUUUUGGAAUUCGGAGUUCAUGGUGGCGAUCAUGAUGCAAUGUACCUUCGUUGCAUCUCGCUCAUGAGUUUCAAAGGCGGUGAUUUCGGCGGGAGUAGCAAUUUCGGGGUUGAUUUUCUCGAGCUUCUCAUCGAGGACAUACUCCUUAUCCUCAUAGCGAGCAAUGGUGCGAAUGUAUCUUAUCCAUUCGCUAAAGUUCGUUCCAUCGAAGGUGACCUUUUGGCAAAGGCUCAUCAACGUGAAAGAACUAGCAGCAGCGUUGUUUGCGUUCGACAUCUACAAUUAGAAAAGGACAAAGAUAGAUUAGAAUAAGAAUCCCUAAUUAUCACCCAAUAAGAAAAUUAGGGCUAGGAUCCAACAAUAACAUUUACAUACUAGAAAAGGGAUGCCGUAAUCUAACAUGCAAAUAAAUUGAAGGUAAGUGAAUGACGAUUCACUAAUUCUCCAUCACAAAACUUAAACUAUUAGUCCUAAGUGUUUUUGAGAAUUCCUAGGUUCGGAUGAGAUUCAUUGAAACUAUUCAAUGGCAUGUUUAAAUCUCGAUAUGCCCCUCUUGUUUGUGACUGGGAUGCCGAGGAUCACAAAGCGGGUGUGAAUUACCAUGCAAAUUCACAUGGUGCCUUCAUUGUAACAAUCACCUAUUCGAUGUGCCGGUAAACCACACACGCUCCAUCGAACUAUGAUAAACAAUGAAUCACCCUUUGCCACCUUCGCUUAGAACCAAUUAGUGUGCCGGUAAACCACACACGCUCCACUAACAUCUUAGCAAGGUGCAAAGUGUAAUUUCAUGGGAUUGCAUCAAUUCACUUUUCCUAAAGUAACUAGGAUUGGGAAAUUUUAAAAAAAUGUGUAGUUACUUUAUAUUUCUUAUUAUACUUUUAAUGAGAGGAUGAGGUUGCCCUAUCCUACCCGUUCGGCUAACGACCCUCCACCAAUCAAGCAAGCGGUGGGUGUGAGUGUACACCCAUUAAGCGCCAUUUUAUAGGCCGCAACCUUAUACCCACCUUAUAGAUCGGCUUCGUGAAUGAGGCCUACUAACGGUAAGACUAGCAUUUAGUUAUACAUAUAUAUAUUAUUCUAGUAAUAUCAUAUUAGUAUAGGGUUGUAUUUUAAAACUUUUAAAAUCUAGGGUUUGAAAUUUAAGUUGUCUAAAUUAAAACUUUUAAUCACAAAAGUAAAUUUCAAAACAUGAGGGUAGGUUUUAAACAUUUAAAACAUGGAGGAUCAAAUAACAAAUAAUUCCAAUUAACAAUUAAUAUCCUAAUUAUCUAUAUUUGAUUUAUUCAAGAUUUCUUUUAAAGAUAAUUACCAAAAUAAUCAAAAUAAUUAAUUAAUUAUCAUAUAAGGAAAUUAAAUAUUUAAUUAGUUGAUAAUUACCUUUAACUAGAUCAAGAUAAUAGUUAUAUUUAUCAGAAAAACGAAUUAAUGUUGAUCUAAUUAGUUUAUGGUAAGUUAAGAUAAGAUAAACACAAAGAAAUCCCGAAUCUGGCCAUUCCUGACGCCUGGACUCGCCGAGUGCACAAAUGGACUCGCCGAGUCAGGCCUACUCGCCGAGUCCACUUUGAGACUCGCCGAGUCCAUGACUCAGAAACCAAAAAUUCGAAUUUUGCAGGUUUGUUUCAGUUAAUCAAGCAACAAUUUACAGAAAACCAAGCUAGGCUCUGAUACCACUGAUGGGUUUUAGCCAUAAGAACUUUCCUAUGUGCGCAUGCAAAACCCUAAUGCUUGGAUCUAGGCUUUCUAAUAAACAUGCUUUGAAUCCAAGACUUCUAAUUACUAAUUAGGUUAAACAAGAACAUUAAAACAGAUCUAGAAUCAUACCUUUGAGUUCCUUGUUGAUCUUGAGGUCUUGGAGCUUCUAGAGUCACAAAUGUCACUCCUCUAAUGGCUUACAAACACCAAAGCAAGGAGGAUGAUUUGGGAGAGAGGAGAGGGGAGGAAUUUCGACCAGAGGUUCCUUACUUUAGGUCAAGUGUCGAAUUCCAUCAGCCAUGGGGUCUAUUUAUACUUGUAGACUCCUUAAGGAUUACAGAUAAGUCCCUAUCAGAUAAUCUUCUCUUAAGGCUAUCCAAAUCCAUUCCUAGAUAACUCUAAUGGACGAUUUUAGCUAUCCUAAUCCUCUUAGAAUUCGUCCAUAGUAUAUCCAAAUGGAUUUACAGUUUAAAGCUUAACUAUCAAACAAUUGACAGUUUAUACCCCUUUAUUUAAUUAAUCUCUUUAAGUCACCAAAUUAAUUCCUAAUUAAUUUAUGACUUAUAUUAAUCAAAUAAUAAUAUUAUUAUUCAUUAUAUUAUUCUUAUAAUAUAUUAAUAAUAUUCCUUCUCUCAUUAUAAAUCAUCCUGUCAAGUUGCUAUGGUGAAGGCAACCCAAAAGGACCAUGCUCAACUGGGUCAAAUACUUGCCUAAUAUAGUUGUAGCCUUAGACACUAUUCCAACAGGAAGCUAGUGAGAUAUUUUGGAUCACGUUAUAGGUGAUCUUGGGGGGUUUAGCUGUGGAAUCAAAAGCUGAACUGGUACUUAGUAUCAAAGUGGGAUAUGAGAAAUGAGCUAGAGUUUGUCAUGGUGAUAUCUGAGGACACUUCAGAGCGAGCGGACGAUUCAGACACUCGAGGACGUGCUUCGAGCAUGUGUAUUAAAUUCGGAGGGAGUUGGGAUACGUAUUUGCUCUUGGCCGAGUUUUCUAUACAAUAGCCAUCAUUCGAGCAUUGGUAUGCCACCUUUUGAGCUGUUGUAUAGGAGGAGGUGUCGGACCCCCCAUUUGNNNNNNNNNNNNNNNNNNNNNNNNNNNNNNNNNNNNNNNNNNNNNNNNNNNNNNNNNNNNNNNNNNNNNNNNNNNNNNNNNNNNNNNNNNNNNNNNNNNNNNNNNNNNNNNNNNNNNNNNNNNNNNNNNCCCUGGGAGGGUGUUGGUUCACGGAAGUGAAAGCAGUAGUCAGAAUGGAUGAUUUGGAGUAUGGUGGUUGAACACUGUGUAUGUGCCAGUGGUAUGGAAGCACAUCCGGGUUGGGUGUCGGUUGAGGUUGCGGAAGAAUCUCCAGUGGCUUAGAACCAGAGGAGUUCGGAAGGAGAUGCAAGAAUAGAGCCUUGGAUUUAAGUAUGGUUGUGAUUUGGAGGUUAUGUUUAUAGUGGUAAUUCAUCCUGGGCAUGUCUGUUGGUAUCGUCGGUGUGUUAGGUUUUUCCAAACCAAGGAUGUAGAGCAGGGUCAGCAUGUGUAUGUGAUUUCGAUGGAGAGCUCAUGGGAGUUGCUCAAGGGCUGCAAGGUGCGUCAUCCUGUCAGCACGGAAGGAAAAGAGUUAGAUUCCGAAAGGAAGCGGGAUAAGUCCCAGCAGUCGGCACCGGGUCAGGAUCCGGUGGUUCAGGGUGAUAUCUAGCUUGGUAAGGGCUUAAUGAUUGUUGUGAUUUGGAGUGAUGAAAGUAUCAUCGGGUGAUCAUUUGGCUAAUAAGGGUUGUAAUCAGAGAAAGAAGCCGAUGGCCGGCUUGAUUCGAUUGUCGUGACUCUGUGAGAAGGAGUCAGACCUUAUAGGGGUUUGGUAACAAUGUUUGAAGGAACCUGGUCUGAUUAAUGCCAGGAGGUGCAUUGCGAGAGUAGUUCUGGAGUUGUGUGCCGCAGGCUUCGAGGACGAAGCCUAAUUUAAGUGGGGUAGAAUUGUAACAUCCCGAGUUCAGGAGUGCAAAUUCAGGGUUCAAAGUGUAAAUGUGAAAGAGCAACUCGGCGAGUCCAUGGGUGGACUCGGCGAGUAGGGUCGCGAUUCUGGUCGCAUGUUAAGUGGCCAACUCGGCAAGUCGGCGGCUGGACUCAGCGAGUUGGUGCUGUGUGGAGAAAACCCAAAAUUCUAAGGAUGAGCCCUAUAUAAAGGACAUUAUACCCUCUCCCCAACCUCUUUACCCUCUCUUGAAGUCCAGAAAACCCUAGGGAGCGUUUGUGAGUGGUUUGAGAGCAUUUGAACCUUGGAGAAGAGAUUUUGGAAGAGAUCUUGGAGAGUUAAGAGGCGUGGAGCAAGGGGCUUUGCUAGCAUUCGGAUUUCUCUUCUGUUGGAGUUUCCUUUUGAGGUAUUGUUUCGUUGCUUGGGCUUUUAUUCUUCAUUUUAAGGUUUUUGGAAAAGAUAGCAUGUGGUGUUUCGAGUUGGAGGUUAGAUCUGAGGUUGCUACCUCAGAUCUGGAAUGGAGAAGGUCUAGAGUGCAUUAAAGUCCCUGUUCUUGAGUGAUUGGUGAAGCCAUCUUGUCCCAAACCCUAACCCUAGAGUGUUAU
rnacentral:lncRNA from 1 species